GUUAUUCACAUCACGAAGACAUCUCCCUGUUUCCCGUGUUCUAUAACGUUUUGAAGCAAUCGUAUAGCUCACUUCAGAAGCGACGUUCAUUGUUUUCUCUGUAUUAUGCUUCACUGUCUCAACGCGUUUUGAAUUCUUCCAUACAAUUCAAACUCAAUAUAUGUACUUUUUUCAAAUGUACUGCUUAAAACAAUGAUCCAUCCACUAUUGAACUCGAAAACGCCAUCUACAUCAGUACAUUGUAAAGCGGAUAAUGUCACGAGGUAUUUAAGGCGACAGGCUCCCACGAGUUACCGUCGGCGUCAUCGACCAUCAUGAUCCCCGUGUUUAGUCUCUGGCUCCAUUUCCUUCUCCCUUUCGGCCACUUUCCUUCUUGUCCCUCCUCGCCUCCAGCCACUCCCUUAUUCGCUUUCAAGUACUCUUCUCUUCUUUUGUUUCUCUUCCCCUUUUCUUCUCGCUCCACUUGUAUUUUUUCCUUCUCUUUUGCAUUGUUUUAGUAUUGAAUAUUUAAUCGUUUAAUGUCUCUUAAUUUCUACUUCAAAUAUUUUGGAUAUUUUUUUAUAUUCUAGUCUCGAAACUUUCCAUAAGUGCACAAAAAAUUGCAGUGUAAUAAUUAUUAUGGAAGUCACAGCAAUAAGUCUUAACAAACAAUAUUUUUUAAAAAAGAUCAGCUGUAAAAAAAUGUCUGUUCACCAUAUUUUUCGUUCUUUGAACAAAUGUUUCUUGCUCUGCCCAUUUCUUCCUACUCCUUAAUCUAUUUAUGACCGAUUUCAAUUCCUCCUCUCUCUUCAUCUUUAACCUCCAAUAUAUCUGCCCCCUUCUGGAAUCGUGUUCCCUAUGAAAGAAGAAGAAUGGAAAGCUGUGACGCGAUUUACGACCCUGUUUACAGCUUCCGGAAGGAGCAUAUCGACCUCACGCACGCACUAGAUGACGAAAAAUGGACGCAAAUUGGGGUCAGGAGGAGUGGCAUCACAUGUCCAAGGUGUGCAUCAGGUAACCAUGAGCGCGUUUAUCGUUCUUUAAAAGAGAUUCGAGCGUCGUGUGGACACUAGCAGAGAUGAAAUCAACCGAGGGAGGGGUUUCCUCACCCAAGGUGAUCCGGUAUAAAAGCGAGAGGCCAUCAAGAGCGAGAAGACCACCUGACGAAUCCUCACGCAUAAAAAGAAACAGGAUAAAAAGUCAAACUUUAUUGAUCAGAAAAAAGACAAUUAGCGUCGGGUCAAGACUAUAUUUAAUAUGAUAUAAAGCUUUC